rfam:Schistosoma rodhaini strain Burundi genome assembly, scaffold: SROB_scaffold0003577
AUCCAGCUGAUGAGUCCUAAAUAGGACGAAACGCGAAACCUGAAU